UCCCGUACUGGUGAUAAUUGCGAUGGGGGGACGGAGAAGGCUAGGCUAUCCGGGCGACGGUUGUCCCGGUUUAAGGAUGUAGGCAGGUGAAUUAGGCAAAUCCGGUUCACUAUAUGCUGAGGUCCGAUGACGAGUCACUACGGUGAUGAAGUAGCUCAUGCCCCGCUUCCAGGAAAAGCCUCUAAGCUCUAGAUUAUCAUUAAUCGUACCCCAAACCGACACAGGUGGUCAGGUAGAGAAUACUCAGGCGCUUGAGAGAACUCGGGUGAAGGAACUAGGCAAAAUGGUGCCGUAACUUCGGGAGAAGGCACGCUGGCAUUAGGUGAAGUGAUUUACUCAUGGAGCUGAAGCCAGUCGCAGAUACCAGCUGGCUGCAACUGUUUAUUAAAAACACAGCACUGUGCAAACACGAAAGUGGACGUAUACGGUGUGACGCCUGCCCGGUGCUGGAAGGUUAAUUGAUGGGGUUAUCCGUAAGGAGAAGCUCUUGAUCGAAGCCCCAGUAAACGGCGGCCGUAACUAUAACGGUCCUAAGGUAGCGAAAUUCCUUGUCGGGUAAGUUCCGACCUGCACGAAUGGCGUAAUGAUGGCCAGGCUGUCUCCACCCGAGACUCAGUGAAAUUGAACUCGCUGUGAAGAUGCAGUGUACCCGCGGCAAGACGGAAAGACCCCGUGAACCUUUACUAUAGCUUGACACUGAACAUUGAGCCUUGAUGUGUAGGAUAGGUGGGAGGCUUUGAAGCGUGGACGCCAGUCUGCGUGGAGCCAACCUUGAAAUACCACCCUUUAAUGUUUGAUGUUCUAACGUUGCCCCGUUAUCCGGGGUGCGGACAGUGUCUGGUGGGUAGUUUGACUGGGGCGGUCUCCUCCCAAAGAGUAACGGAGGAGCACGAAGGUUGGCUAAGCAUGGUCGGACAUCAUGCGGUUAGUGCAAAGGCAUAAGCCAGCUUGACUGCGAGAGUGACGGCUCGAGCAGGUACGAAAGUAGGUCUUAGUGAUCCGGUGGUUCUGAAUGGAAGGGCCAUCGCUCAACGGAUAAAAGGUACUCCGGGGAUAACAGGCUGAUACCGCCCAAGAGUUCAUAUCGACGGCGGUGUUUGGCACCUCGAUGUCGGCUCAUCACAUCCUGGGGCUGAAGUAGGUCCCAAGGGUACGGCUGUUCGCCGUUUAAAGUGGUACGCGAGCUGGGUUUAGAACGUCGUGAGACAGUUCGGUCCCUAUCUGCCGUGGGCGUUGGAAGAUUGAAAGGGGCUGCUCCUAGUACGAGAGGACCGGAGUGGACGCACCACUGGUGUUCGGGUUGUCAUGCCAAUGGCAUUGCCCGGUAGCUAAGUGCGGAAGAGAUAACCGCUGAAAGCAUCUAAGCGGGAAACUUGCCUUGAGAUGAGUCUUCCCUGACCCUUAAAGGGUCCUAAAGGAACGUUUAAGACUAAGACGUUGAUAGGUUGGGUGUGUAAGCGUAGCGAUACGUUGAGCUAACCAAUACUAAUGAACCGUGAGGCUUAACCUG
rnacentral:rRNA from 1 species